rnacentral:rRNA from 1 species
UACGUAGGGAGCAAGCGUUGUUCGGAUUUACUGGGCGUAAAGGGCGCGUAGGCGGCAAAUUAAGUCAGCUGUGAAAUCUCCGAGCUUAACUCGGAACGGUCAGCUGAUACUGAUCUGCUAGAGUGCGGAAGGGGCAAUCGGAAUUCUUGGUGUAGCGGUGAAAUGCGUAGAUAUCAAGAGGAACACCUGAGGUGAAGACGGGUUGCUGGGCCGACACUGACGCUGAGUGCGGCGAAAGCCAGGGGAGCAAACGGG